GACCACCUGUAAUAGAUAAAUAUGCUGUAAAUAAAUGUGUGCGCUCACAUUUGUGAACCAGUAGCAAAGUACAAUGAAGAUUCCCAAUUACAUCUUUCAGCCCUUCUAUUCUCCAUUGUUCCUGCUCCUUUCUAAGCCGAAACAAGGCAACAGAAGAUUUUUGUCUGCGCAAGCAUUUUGAAAUAGGCCUGUUAUAAGCGCAAUUUAUUUGUCUAGUUGCCCAUUAAGCAGUGGCGGGUUGCUACCGGUUUGGUCCGGAUCCUGUGAACCAGUAGUAACAGCGGCAGGAGACUCCGCCCACCCACCCGGACGUCAUCAUGGAUGCUCUGCGCAUGCGCAGCAGCUUCUGUGCAUGCGCAGAAGCGCCACACGCUCCAGUUGCGAACCGGUAGCAAAGGAAAAGAGCAACAAGAGAAAGAAAAAUAAAGAAGACCAUUUGAUGUCUGGGAAGUGAAUUAUUCAGGAUUUUAAGAAGCAGUUAAUUGUAUUCAGAAAUACAGGCUCAGAGAUUAAUCUUGUAGAUUUACGUUGCAGUUUAUUUUAGAAAACCUUCUUUAAGCAUCCCUUAAUUGGCACAACUGUUCUUAUGAUCUAAACAGAAACGAUAAAGAAAGCUAUCUCAACAUCUGUUUGUUCAAAUUGUGAUGCAUGUAUGUAUAUUCAUUUGUAAUAUGCAAGAUAAUGUGUUUCUCUAAUUUUGGGUAUUUCCUGUUUUAGUCUAAAGUAUGUUAUUUUUUGUUUACUCUUUGAAAUAUUUACAGUUUGUUUAAUUUUAUUUGCACAGAUUUAUUGUAAAGCAUUUUGAGCGCUCAUGAAGAGCAGGGACAAUUUAAGAAUGAAAUAAGCAAAUGUAUAUUGCUGUAGGCUUGAAAAAAGAUGCAAUUUGUUCAGUUUCCCUUUCAGGAUAAAUUUACAGACUUUUUCUCUUCCCUAUAAAGACAAAAACUGAAAUGCUAUUAUCAAUCACUGUUUCUGUUCCUCAGAAUCAUGAAUUAUAGUUUAUCAACAAUAAAAAUGCAUUAUGCAAGUGAGUAAAUUUGAAGUGUAUAUAAAUGUAUACAAAAAUACAUGACAUUACGUCUUUUUUUGUGUGUGUGCUAUCCCAUAUAACUCUCCUUGAACAACAGGCCACAAUUUUUAAAGUUUGCCCUAAUAAAACUCUGCCUGACUUAUUGUGGA